CAGGACGAACGCUGGCGGCGCGCCUAACACAUGCAAGUCGAACGGAGCUUAGAGAGCUUGCUUUUUAAGCUUAGUGGCGAACGGGUGAGUAACGCGUGAGUAACCUGCCCUGGAGUGGGGGACAACAGUUGGAAACGACUGCUAAUACCGCAUAAGCCCACGGUGCCGCAUGGCACUGAGGGAAAAGGAUUUAUUCGCUUCAGGAUGGACUCGCGUCCAAUUAGCUAGUUGGUGAGGUAACGGCCCACCAAGGCGACGAUUGGUAGCCGGACUGAGAGGUUGAUCGGCCACAUUGGGACUGAGACACGGCCCAGACUCCUACGGGAGGCAGCAGUGGGGGAUAUUGCACAAUGGGGGAAACCCUGAUGCAGCGACGCCGCGUGGAGGAAGAAGGUUUUCGGAUUGUAAACUCCUGUCGUUAGGGACGAUAAUGACGGUACCUAACAAGAAAGCCACGGCUAACUACGUGCCAGCAGCCGCGGUAAUACGUAGGUGGCGAGCGUUAUCCGGAAUCAUUGGGCGUAAAGAGGGAGCAGGCGGCCGCAAGGGUCUGUGGUGAAAGACCGAAGCUAAACUUCGGUAAGCCAUGGAAACCGGGCGGCUAGAGUGCGGAAGAGGAUCGUGGAAUUCCAUGUGUAGCGGUGAAAUGCGUAGAUAUAUGGAGGAACACCAGUGGCGAAGGCGACGGUCUGGGCCGCAACUGACGCUCAUUCCCGAAAGCGUGGGGAGCAAAUAGGAUUAGAUACCCUAGUAGUCCACGCCGUAAACGAUGGUCACUAAGUGUCGGGGGUCAGACCCCGGUGCUGCAGUCAACGCAAUAAGUGACCCGCCUGAGUAGUACGGUCGCAAGAUUAAAACUCAAAGGAAUUGACGGGGACCCGCACAAGCAGCGGAGCAUGUGGUUUAAUUCGAAGCAACGCGAAGAACCUUACCUAGACUUGACAUGUCCUGAAUUACCAGUAAUGUGGGAAGUUCCUUCGGGAACAGGAACACAGGUGGUGCAUGGUUGUCGUCAGCUCGUGUCGUGAGAUGUUGGGUUAAGUCCCGCAACGAGCGCAACCCCUAUUGUUAGUUGCUACGAAAGAGCACUCUAGCGAGACUGCCGUUGACAAAACGGAGGAAGGUGGGGACGACGUCAAAUCAUCAUGCCCCUUAUGUCCUGGGCUACACACGUAAUACAAUGGCGUUCAACAAAGGGAAGCAAAACCGCGAGGUGGAGCAAAUCCCCAAAAGACGUCUCAGUUCGGAUUGCAGGCUGCAACUCGCCUGUAUGAAGUCGGAAUUGCUAGUAAUCGUGGAUCAGCAUGCCACGGUGAA
rnacentral:rRNA from 1 species